GAAGGGUGCAAGCGUUACUCGGAAUUACUGGGCGUAAAGCGUGCGUAGGUGGUCGUUUAAGUCCGUUGUGAAAGCCCUGGGCUCAACCUGGGAACUGCAGUGGAUACUGGGCGACUAGAGUGUGGUAGAGGGUAGCGGAAUUCCUGGUGUAGCAGUGAAAUGCGUAGAGAUCAGGAGGAACAUCCAUGGCGAAGGCAGCUACCUGGACCAACACUGACACUGAGGCACGAAAGCGUGGGGAGCAAACAGGAUUAGAUACCCUGGUAGUCCACGCCCUAAACGAUGCGAACUGGAUGUUGGGUGCAAUUUGGCACGCAGUAUCGAAGCUAACGCGUUAAGUUCGCCGCCUGGGGAGUACGGUCGCAAGACUG
rnacentral:rRNA from 1 species